GACGAACGCUGGCGGCGUGCUUAACACAUGCAAGUCGAACGGAAAGGCCUGCUUUCCCUUGUGGAUUGCGGGUACUCGAGUGGCGAACGGGUGAGUAACACGUGAGUGAUCUGCCCCCAACUUGGGUAUAAGCCUGGGAAACUGGGUCUAAUUCCCGAUAGGACUGCAGGGUGGUUCCUGUUGUGGAAAACGAUUUUCUAGUGGUUGGGGAUGAGCUCGCGGCCUAUCAGCUUGUUGGUGGGGUAAUGGCCUACCAAGGCGGCGACGGGUAGCCGGCCUGAGAGGGUGGACGGCCACAGUGGGACUGAGAGACGGCCCAGACUACUACGGGAGGCAGCAGUGGGGAAUAUUGCACAAUGGGCGGAAGCCUGAUGCAGCGACGCCGCGUGGGGGAUGACGGCCUUCGGGUUGUAAACUCCUUUCGACAGCGAGGAAGCCACCUGGUUGGAAGGGUGGUGACGGUAGUGGUAGAAGAAGCACCGGCUAACUACGUG
rnacentral:rRNA from 1 species